rnacentral:rRNA from 1 species
UGGGGAAUUUUGGACAAUGGGCGAAAGCCUGAUCCAGCAAUGCCGCGUGUGUGAAGAAGGCCUUCGGGUUGUAAAGCACUUUUGUCCGGAAAGAAAUCCUUGGCUCUAAUACAGUCGGGGGAUGACGGUACCGGAAGAAUAAGCACCGGCUAACUACGUGCCAGCAGCCGCGGUAAUACGUAGGGUGCAAGCGUUAAUCGGAAUUACUGGGCGUAAAGCGUGCGCAGGCGGUUUGCUAAGACCGAUGUGAAAUCCCCGGGCUCAACCUGGGAACUGCAUUGGUGACUGGCAGGCUAGAGUAUGGCAGAGGGGGGUAAAUUCCACGUGUAGCAGUGAAAUGCGUAGAGAUGUGGAGGAAUACCGAUGGCGAAGGCAGCCCCCUGGGCCAAUACUGACGCUCAUGCACGAAAGCGUGGGGGAGCAAACAGGAUUAGAUACCCUGGUAGUCCACGCCCUAAACGAUGUCAACUAGUUGUUGGGGAUUCAUUUCCUUAGUAACGUAGCUAACGCGUGAAGUUGACCGCCUGGGGAGUACGGUCGC